UCUUCAAUCGCUGUAUAUUGUCGGACCGUUUCUCUGCCCUUUGAUUGUCGUGUCUAGGUUGUGAUUUUUGUUCGAGAUCGUAAGAUAUACCCCAUCGCCCUUUUAACUUCAGUAUUCCCGUACCAAUGUUGUUUGUAUGUAAGAGCAAUUAUUUUAGUUCUCACUACCGCUCUCUCUCCAUAUUUGUAUGCAUGCCUCUCGUUCGACCUC
rnacentral:sRNA from 1 species